UGUGGAGUGAGGCCUGCCAACACUCAGGGCUGAAACAAUGCCAGUUGAGCGCUUCCCUCUCUAGCUUCAGUAUUCCUGGAAACUCUGCUAUUUUGCAGAUCCUUUCCGAGAACUGGGCGGUCAAAGAGGAAUGUAGAAGCCGGUCACGGGGCUGUUUGAACUACCGGGUGCCAAAAUCCAAAAACAAAACAAAAAACUGCCUGAACUUGCUUAUCCUUCACUUCCUUCCUCACAAAGCCCUCAGAAUUCCUUUCUGUAAUUUCCUUCCCCUUUAAGGUCAUUUUUAAAAAACUUUUUAUUAUGGAAAUUUUCAAACAUGCCCUGAAGAAGAGAGAAGAAUAUAAUGAAUCCCCACUUGCCUACGACAUGCAACUUAAACAGUAAUCAACAUUUUGCCCAUCUUAUUUCAUCUCUCCUCCCUCUUUAUUAGUUUUAUUUAUGUGUUUCUUUAUUGCUAAAAUGUUUUUAAAGCUAAUUCUGAAUUUAUUUUUGAUGAAUUCUCCCAAUCUCCCGAGUCAAAGCUGGGAGUUGGUCAGAGACCCAACUGGUGAGCUCAGCCCCUCCCCCUGCCUCCCUCGCUCUCCAUCACUGCCUCACAGUGGAAAUCAGGUGCAAAUACAAUUUCAUAACUCGAGGUGUAGGCUGUGAGAAGACAGAGAACUUGGCAAGAGGGAUCCGUGGGCUACAGAAGCUGCCAAAAUCACUCAGUGAGAAAGAACAAGACAUAGUGUGAUAACUCCCCCAGAGGGUUGUCUGCCAGGUGGAGCCGGGGCUGUGCAGAGCCUGAACAGGUAAGGACCCAGAUCGGGGAACUGCAGUGAUUAGAGAGGGGAUGAAAGGAUUCUAAGAGUCCAAGAUCUCACAGAGGUGAGAAGGGUCUGUUUCUAUGGAUUGUGAGCAGGUUUAUGUGAGUUCAUUUUAAAAAUAUGAACUGCUAUGAUUCUUAACAAUAACGAAAAGAUCCAUCUUAUAUUUGCAAGAUUGUUUUGGACAUAGAUGGUAACCAAUUCUUCUCUAGAUCCAUGAGAAUCGACGUCAACUGGAACAGACUAUCAGGGGCAAGGCAGAGAGAAGGAAUAGGGGGUGGAGCCUGUAGACUAGGGUCGCAUUCCUGUUUUGCACCCAGGACCUAUAAAGCCUUACGCAAGACAUUUAACAUCCUGAGGCCUCGGUUUUAUUGUAAAACAGGAGAAAUAGCUGUAGUUCCUCUUAUUUGGUGGAGAAG
rnacentral:lncRNA from 1 species